CCCCACGAGGAUCCAACAACCUGUACGAGUAUGGCCGCUUCUCCGUCGCCAAGUCCCUCUCCAAUGCCAGGAAGUUCCUCCAUCUGAUCAACCGAUACCUCGCUCACAAGUCGAACCUGUCGCCGACUGCCUCGUUGGCCCUCCUCGACUGCCAGCUCCUGUCGGAGCUCAACAUCGACAUCCUCACCGCGGCUGAAACCACACUGAAUGACACCGACAAGCUCCUCGACCACCAAGCCGACAAGGUGCACACCCUGCUGUCAGCUCUGGUCACCAACCAGCACACCUGCUCCGACGGCCUGCAUGCGACGGAGUCGGCGUGGUCCAUCAAGAACGGCCUCUCCGUCCCUAUGCACAAUAGCACUAAGCUCUACGGCGUCUCCCUUGCACUCUUCAAGCGGGCCUGGGAGCCUCACAGGAAGAACAGGAACGUCAGCCACUCCAGAGUCCCACGUAGGAAGACACUGUUAUUCCACGAAGUCGCCGUCGGCCGCGACGGCGAGCUACCGCUGAGGAUGCCGGCCCAGAAAAGAGAGCUGUUCGAGAGGUGGAGCGGGCGGGGGCUCCUUCAGGCGACCGACGCCGUCCUGGUAAACGACGUCGUGCGGGUGAGCCAAGACGGCAGUGGGAACUUCGUGACGAUCACAGACGCGGUCAAGUCGGCCCCCGUUGACCACGACGAAAACACCGGCUACCACUUGAUAUACGUCGCCGCCGGGGUUUACGAAGAGUACGUCGUCAUCCCCAAGCAUAAGAAACACUUGAUGAUGAUCGGCGAUGGGAUCAACCAGACGGUGAUCACCGGCAACCAUAGCGUCGGUGAUGGCUGGACUACCUUCACCUCCUCGACCUUUGGUACGUGACCGCUUGGUUACCAUUCCCAAGAUAUGCUUUACCUGACACAAGUCUUUCACCUGUAGUCGCCCUCGGACAUGGAUUCGUGGCGAUCAACAUAACCUUCCGAAACGCGGCCGGGCCGGCCAAGUACCAAGCGGUCGCGGUCCUGAACAACGCAGAUAUGUCCACCUUCUACAGAUGCAGCUUCGAGGGCUACCAAGACACGCUCUACACCCACUCCAUGAGGCAGUUCUACAGGGAGUGCGACAUCUACGGCACAGUGGACUACAUAUUCGGCAACGCAGCGGUGGUGUUCCAGAACUGCAACGUCUACUCCCGGUUGCCCCUCCCUGGCCAGAUCAACACCAUCACCGCGCAAGGCCGGACCGACCCGAACCAGAACACCGGCACGUCGAUGCAGUCCUGCAACUUCCUCGACGCAGCUGAUCUGGCCGCCACGGCCCUCUGC
rnacentral:lncRNA from 1 species